rnacentral:rRNA from 1 species
GACGAACGCUGGCGGCGUGCUUAACACAUGCAAGUCGAACGGAAAGGCCCUGCUUUUGUGGGGUGCUCGAGUGGCGAACGGGUGAGUCACACGUGAGUAACCUGCCCUUGACUUUGGGAUAACUUCAGGUAACUGGGGCUACUACCGGAUAGGAGCUCCUGCUGCAUGGCGGGGGUUGGAAAGUUUCGGCGGUUGGGGAUGGACUCGCGGCUUAUCAGCUUGUUGGUGGGGGAGUGGCUUACCAUGGCUUUGACGGGUAGCCGGCCUGAGAGGGUGACCGGCCACAUUGGGACUGAGAUACGGCCCAGACUCCUACGGGAGGCAGCAGUGGGGAGUAUUGCACAAUGGGCGGAAGCCUGAUGCAGCAACGCCGCGUGCGGGAUGACGGCCUUCGGGUUGUAAACCGCUUUCGCCUGUGACGAAGCGUGAGUGACGGUAAUGGGUAAAGAAGCACCGGCUAACUACGUG